GUAAUAGCUCACUGGUCGAGUCGGCCUGCGCGGAAGAUGUAACGGGGCUAAACCAUGCACCGAAGCUGCGGCAGCGAACGUAUCACUUAAAGCGAUUCAGCGGGUUACGAUUGACGGAGCGAAGCGACGUCAAAGCGUAUACAAAGUCGAGUCGGUUUAAGGAUACGUUCGUUGGGUAGGGGAGCGUUCUGUAAGCCCGUGAAGGUGGCCUGUGAGGGUUGCUGGAGGUAUCAGAAGUGCGAAUGCUGACAUAAGUAACGAUAAAGCGGGUGAAA
rnacentral:rRNA from 1 species